AUUGAACGCUGGCGGCAUGCUUUACACAUGCAAGUCGAACGAGUGGCGGACGGGUGAGUAAUGUCUGGGAACCUGCCCGAUAGCGGGGGAUAACUACUGGAAACAGUGGCUAAUACCGCAUACUAUUGGAUCUGCCCAUAUCGGAUUAGCUAGUUGGUGGGGUAACGGCUCACCAAGGCGACGAUCCGUAGCUGGUGUGAGAGGAUGACCAGCCACACUGGAACUGAGACACGGACCAGACUCCUACGGGAGGCAGCAGUGGGGAAUAUUGCACAAUGGGGGAAAGCCUGAUGCAGCCAUGCCGCGUGUAUGAUGAAGGCCUUCGGGUUGUAAAGUACUUUCAGCAGAGAGGCGUUACUUGCAGAAGAAGCACCGGCUAACUCCGUGCCAGCAGCCGCGGUAAUAC
rnacentral:rRNA from 1 species